GCGUGUGGGGCGGGGGGGGGGUGGGGGGGGAGAGAGAGAGAGACAGAGAGAGAGACGUCCCCCUGGUACCAGAAUGCACCGCGCCACCACGACAGUUUAACGACGCGAGGAGAAGCCGCCGCGCGGCGCUGUGUCUGUGCCGUGCGGAGGAAACGACUCAACGUCACACGCACGUUACGUCACUUCAACACGUCACACACGUCACGCGUCACACCCACUCCCACUGUACGGCUUCUCGCACGAAAUAGUAUUAUUGCUAAUGAUAAUAAUAUAAAGUAGUAUUUUUUUUUUUUAAAUAUAUUUUAUUAUUAAAUAAUCGUUUCUCAUGUCUUGCAUACGUCGUUAUAAAAGCUCAGUGGAAGGCUUUCCUUUUCAAUGGCUGUACAAUGAGAAUGACAUGCUGCUGCUGCUCAGGUUCACCCGAACCGAAGUGUGCGAAUCGAAUGACACAGAGAGAGAGAGAGAGAGAGAGAGAGAGCGAGAGCGUGUUUCCCUGCUGUAUGGAGGAGUAACCCUUGUUCCUGAUGAGCAUGAUGGAGACAGAAGAAAUCACACACACUAGCUGAAGCCGCUUAUCCCAAGCGGGGUCGCGGCGAACCAAAGCCUAGCCUGGCAACACAGGGCUUAAGGCUGGAGGGGGAGAGGACACACCCAGGACGGGACACCAGUCCACUGCAAGGCACCCCAUGCAGGACUCAAACCCCAGACCCUCCAGAGAGCAGGACCUGGCCAAACUCGCUGCGCCACCGCGUCCCCCUCAGAAGAAAUCAACUCUUGCUUUGUAGGCUCUCUGGUUCUCAACUCAUUGACAACAAAUCGAUGACUCGUGAACGAAGCAAUGUGUUGCGCAUGUUGCCAAACCUGUUGUAGGUCUUGAGAAUGAUCAGCAGCGUCGUAAGGAUGAUGAUGAUGCCGAUGACGAUCACAGCGAUCAUGGCUCCCGAGCCUGGUUGACAAAGAGAGGAGGCAGAGUGUGAUGAAGAGCUCUGGGCCCUGCAGUGAACUUCCAUGUGAAUUUGAACCGAAGGGCCUCGAAACCGGGCAGCUUUUGUUCACUUCACUUUAUCUGCUUCUCAACUUUGCAGUAUUUGUCCUAGUUGGUGUUUCUGGGGAAUCUAUUGCAACCUGACAUGUAACCGUGCCGUAGUUCUCUCCCUUCCGGCGGUUACUACUGUAUUUUGUACUUGGAAUUCGUUAACAGUGCAUUUCAUGUUACUUAGGUACAGAUAUAGAGGCAGCAGGUACUAUAGCAGUUGGAGCCACAGCUUCGUGACUCUAAGAUCCCAGGUUUGAAUCCCACCUCCUGCUGUAUUACCCUUAAUCAUGCUACUUAACAGAGUUAAAAUGACCCUGCUGUACAAAUGGAUAAAUCGGUGUAAGUAGCUGAACACAGUAAGUCACUUUGGAGAAAAGCAUCAGAGAAACAAAAAGGCUCAUUAUGUCUUGUCUGAAAAAUGCUGUCUUCCGUUGGCUUUCCCUCGGUCCCUAUGGUACUAUGGUACUGUCGUCUUCAAUAAAAUUUCCCUUACAGCUGACA
rnacentral:lncRNA from 1 species